GGGAAGACAUUUUGUUAAGAUAUUUGUUUCCUCUGUCCUUCUUUAGGACGGACGCGUGUUCAUCUGGACGUGUGACGACCCGGCUGGAAACACCUGGACGGCUAAACUCCUCCACAAGUUCAACGAUGUGGUUUGGCACGUCAGCUGGUCCAUCACCGGAAACAUCCUGGCUGUUUCAGGAGGAGACAACAAGGUGACGCUGUGGAAGGAGUCGAUGGACGGGCAGUGGGCCUGCAUCAGUGACGUCAGCAAAGGACAAGGAGCCGUCUCCACCAUCACAGACACACAGCAGAGCGAGCAGUGACACACACACACACACACACAUUUAUAACAUGACCCCUGGCUCUACAAGGACGACCCGAUCUUCAGAGAUGAUUUUAGCGUUAGUAAUUAACACGCCGGACAUUUCAACAGAACCUUGUCCACACUGAUUGAGAUUCUUGUGUAAUGUUUUUGUUUGAUGAUUACAUUUGUCCGGGAUAAAUGUUCCCAAAGUGUAUCAGAGGCGGAGGAAACGUGUAUUGAAUGGUGCAGAAUCUCUGCAAAUGCAAACCUUAUAAUAACGGUGGAGUGUUUCCACAUGUACAUUAAUGCUGGUCCAGAUUGAAAUCCAUCCCUUGAUGCUUUUCCCCCUGAAAACAUUCCUCCUCCUCCAGCGGAGAACAGCAGGAAGCCUCCAUCUGCAACUAUAAAACAUCAUCUCCAUUUUAUUUAAUGCAUUUGUUUCAAAACUAGUUUCCUCAUGUUCUCAGAGUGAGACAAAUCAGAGAAAGAAAUACGUCCUACACUUCAUCCAGUACGUUAAUCAAGUAAAUAGAUAAAUGAUUUAUUGAUAAGUACACAUUGUUUACCACUCAAUACAAGAGGCUCAAUAAAUACAGAGAUGUCUGUGUAAUCAGAACAUGCCUUAUGUUUGGCAACCUGAAUGACUCGCUGCCAACUCAACCGUGAAUUAAGCAUCAACAGUUGAGUGUUUUCUUCCAGUUGUGAGAUCAGAAAACCCUGGAUGUGUUUUUCAUAUUUGAUGUAAUUAAAAAACUAUAAUAUUAAAA